rnacentral:lncRNA from 10 species
GAAGCCAGGCCAAGAAGAAUCCCAGGACUGGAAGGCCUUGUGGGACGUCCCAGGUUUGUCUUGUGUCAAUAGCACUGAUACUCAAUCUCCUACUCCCAUCUGUGAGCAUGCAGACCCUACUUGCCUUCCCACAGCCUCCCUUUUCAUAUUUUUCAUGUUUCUUUAGCUCUGUCUUCAAGCCUUGUUGCUCCCGCAAAAAAACCUGCCUCUUCCUCCAGUCCUCCCAAGCAGGGGGAACAGUCCUGACACCUUUCCAAGCCCUGGUCCAUGGACAUUGUGCCCCCUUCUCCCUGCCCAUGGUGACCUGCUCCAAAACCCUCAAGGAGAAGGGAGUGUAUGUCAUUUCCUCCCUGUAAAGUAAAGAUAAUUUUGCAGGGGACUGUGUGGAUGAAAUGACAUGAUGCAUGGAAAUCCCUUAGCGUGUGCCUGGCAUGUAAACUGCAGGUGUCAUCAUUAUUACUGAGGAAUACUGAGUCCCGAACAUGGCUGUCUCAUUGGUGGACUGGGGUCUCCCCCAGGGCAUUCAUCUACUAUGUGUUUAUUGCACCCUUUUUCCAUGUGAGGCACAUGCCAGGGACUGGGCACAUGGUAUGAACAAGACACAGGUCAUCGGUGUCCUCUUGAGCUCCCUGGCUUGGCAGCAGAUGCAUACCUGGGAAGGAUGCUAGGUCAUCCGGGAACUCUACCUCCUUCAAAUCCCUAAGGACUGUGCUCCCAAUCCGCUUACGCUCAAGGAAGAACUGCCUGGAAGCCCUCCCUGGUACCAUACCCCAGCCGAUGAGUAUGUACCCCCAGAAGUACUUCCGCUCAGAGAAGAAGGAGACGGCAAGCAGGGUGUACAGGAAGGCCCAGAACCAGCCUGCUGUCAGGAUCAGAACAAAAGAGGAGGACUGCAUAUGUAUGGACCCACUCCAGAUGGCACGGGGACGGGGGGAGUAGGAAAAGUGGCAUGAUGAGGAAAUGGAGGCACAGACUGAUUAGAAAACCAGCUCAAGGUCAUGUUGCUGGGCUCUCUGGUGGAGCCUCUGUCUCACAGGUCACCUGCAGGCCAACACUCCCAGAAGCAGCUAGCACCAUGGUUGACCUCGUCCAGGUCCAGGGAAGGCCUCCCUCUCCAGGACUCCUUUAGAUUUCCCCAGCAUCCAGACCUCACCUGCCUAAGUGCUGUUGCCCUGGAAGCCACAGUGAGCACGAGCUCCAUCUUGCACCUUUACCAGCCAAUGGGGGUAAAGACAUUAGCUGAAAUACUUCUAAGGGGCCAGGCGUGGUGACUCAUGCUUGUAAUUCCAAGCACUUUGGGAGGCUGAGGCAGGUGGAUCACCUGAAGCCAGGAGUUCAAGAGCAGCCUGGCCAACAUGGCGAAACCCUGUCUCUACUAAAAAUACAAAAUUUAGCCAGGCAUGGUGGCGGGAGCCUGUAAUCUCAGCUCCUAGGG